UCUACAGAAGAGAAAGCAGAAGAGUAUAAAAGCCAGAGGAAAUGAAGGACUCGAAUGACAUCAAGGCCUUCUAAGCACAACAGGAUGGACAAAUUUAAGAACCCACAGAGACUGAGGUAACAUGAAUAAGAUGUACACAGGUCCUCCGCGUGGAUUGUCUCCACUCCGUGCAGGUCCUCCGCGUGGAUUGCCUCCGCUCCGUGCAGGUCCUCCGCGUGGAUUGCCUCCGCUCUGUGCAGGUCCUCCGCGUGGAUUGCCUCCGCUCCGUGCAGGUCCUCCGUGUGGAUUGUUGUAGACUUCCUCAUUGUUACUCAAGGCUGCAGCGUGGAGAAAUACCUCAUAGAAGCUGUGCCAUCCCUGUGCACCAUAUGUAGAUGUUUCUGAUUAUGGUAAUGUUCCCCUUGAUUAUGUGAUUAAAUAUUGUCUGCCAGGUUUCUCCACUUGAAAGUCACUAUUUUUCCUUCAUAAUGGCAUUUCUUCAUAAUAAAUAUUUGAGGAAAGAUGUA